rnacentral:lncRNA from 1 species
CAUCAGUCACAUUUCUCAAUAAUUGUUUAAUUUUUAUUAUAUCUUUACUCUGUAUGGUGUUAUUAAUUAGAUUAAGACAAAUAUAGUAUUAAAAUGAUUUUAAAAAGGAGUUAAUUGUCAACAUCCCUGAUGGAAGACGUUCCCACAUGAUAUGUAAGUGCAUCCGCCAUCCUGGAUGCAGCAGAAGUAGGGGAGGAGAUAGGCUAGAGGACCUGUGAGAAAGCAUGGAUGGCUGUGGUCCUCCUGUUAGGUUCGUAUGUCCCAGGAGCAUGAUACCAAUAUUGAUGGAAUUCCACUGUCGUAACGGUAUGAACCAUCAAUUAUGGGAUUCUCCUUCCCUAUCUUUGCCUCCCAUCUCCAGUGGUACAUCAGAUUCAUAGAUACCAACUGCACAACCUAUAGAACCAACAGGACAGACAAUGGCCAAACCAUCCACAACAGAGUGUCUCACGUUUACUACUAUAUCCCCCCUCACCAUCAUCAAUGCCCGCAAUGGCAACACUUGAUACCAGUAGACUGGAAGAAAUACCAGAACUAACUGGCACUCCUGACCGGGAGUUAUGGGGAAAACAUCAGAGAAAGUAUAGCCCGGAUUGGACAGACCGUGCAAAUAAUUUACAUAAGACCACUCGCCCAGAUGUCACCAGGAUUUGGAAACCUUCAAUUUAAUUGUUUCUCGAGGGGGGGUGUUUGAUCGAGGAAAACAACCAUCAAUACUGGUCAGCUAUAGGCUCAGGAAGAGCACAUUUUUUCUUCCUGCUAGGGUCUUCCAUAGAUAAGCAUGGAUACCUGCCGACCAUGGAAUCAGGGAGAGCAUGCCUUUUCUAAUCAGGAUGAACGUGUGAUUCUGAAAAAUAAAAUAAAAUAAAUAUAGUCUUUUUUCCUAAAUAAUAAUUUUAUAUAUAUACACAGGGGUUUCCAAAGUCCACCGACAAGCUUCCAGGGCGGGUUCUACUCAUGAAAAUAAAUAAUGUCUUAUGAACAUAGUGUCGGAAAUGCAUGUUUAAUGAGUCAAUAGCUUUUCUAAAAUGAAACUAUUUUAGUA